ensembl:lncRNA
GUUGGGAUCAGAGUGCAGGGUCAGCCAUGAGACAGCAGAGGGCCCAACAGUGGCAGCUUGGUGCUGGUGCUGGAACCCCCAACCUUCCAAUGAGUAACCCAGAGCCUUAACCAUCAAGCCACCACUGCCCCUGGUGGUGGCUUGACAAGACCUCUGAAGGUGUGCUCUGGUACCAAGACAUUAGCAGCAGAUCCUUCAAAUCCUGUAAGUUGUGAGGUGGGCCUCCAUGGAUCAGACUCGUUUGUCCAGCAGAUCCCACAGAUGCUCGAUGGGAUUGAGAUCUUGUUAAUUUGGAGGCCGAGUCAACACCUUGAACUCUUAUUCCUAAAACCAUUCCUGAACAAUUUUUACAGGGUGUCAGGGUGCAUUAUCCUGCUGAAAGAGGCCAAUGGCAUUAGGGAAGACUGUUGCCAUGAAAGGGUGUUCUUGGUCUGCAACAAUGUUUAGACUUGCCUUCUUCCCAUGGUGCAUCCUGGUGACAUCUCUUCCUCAGAAAGUUUUGGAUCCGGGUCUAAAUAGAGGGAAAGACUGAAACAGUGGGAGAGAGGUUAAUGAUCUCGUUUUGCUGCCUCCUGUCCAGUCUGUUCCAGCACACUGAAGCUCCCUGAAGACUCUCCCUCGCCCUCUCACUGCAAGCACAAUGACUCCAAUAACACAAUGCAUUUCACUAAUGAAAAUACUCUGCAUUUAUCAAGUGACUUCUUUAUUAGAGAUUACUGAGAUUAACUUUGCUGAAAGUAAGAGCAGGAAAUUUACUAAAGUGUGCUGCAUUGAGGACAUUUCAAACUACAGCUGGACGUCACAGUUAAAGUGUGCC